AACGAACGCUGGCGGCGUGCCUAACACAUGCAAGUCGAACGAGAAAGGGGCUUCGGCUCCGAGUAGAGUGGCGCACGGGUGAGUAACACGUGGGUAACCUGCCUCUAAGAUUGGGAUAACUCGUCGAAAGAUGAGCUAAUACCGGAUAAGACCACAGUUCCUGCGGGAACAGGGGUCAAAGGUAGCCUCUGCUUGCAAGCUAUCACUUAGAGAUGGGCCUGCGCACCAUUAGCUAGUUGGUAGGGUAACGGCCUACCAAGGCAAAGAUGGUUAGCUGGUCUGAGAGGACGAUCAGCCACACUGGAACUGAGACACGGUCCAGACUCCUACGGGAGGCAGCAGUGGGGAAUAUUGCGCAAUGUGCGAAAGCUUGACGCAGCAACGCCGCGUGAGUGAUGAAGGCCUUCGGGUCGUAAAGCUCUGUCGGGAGGAACGAAUGCUCCUGAGGUUAACAGCCUCGGGAGGUGACGGUACCUCCAAAGGAAGCACCGGCUAACUCUGUGCCAGCCGCCGCGGUAA
rnacentral:rRNA from 1 species